rnacentral:rRNA from 1 species
GACGAACGCUGGCGGCGUGCCUAAUACAUGCAAGUCGAGCGGGGUUACUACGUCAGAUUCCUUCGGGAAGACGAUGUUUUAACCUAGCGGCGGACGGGUGAGUAACGCGUGGGUAACCUGCCCUAGAGACCGGGAUAACAACGGGAAACCGUUGCUAAUACCGGAUGCCUUUACAGGGAGGCAUCUUUCUGUAAAGAAAGCAUAAGCGCUCUAGGAUGGGCCCGCGUCCCAUUAGCUAGUUGGUGAGGUAACUGCUCACCAAGGCGACGAUGGGUAGCCGGCCUGAGAGGGUGACCGGCCACACUGGGACUGAGACACGGCCCAGACUCCUACGGGAGGCAGCAGUAGGGAAUAUUGCGCAAUGGGCGAAAGCCUGACGCAGCGACGCCGCGUGAGUGAUGAAGGCCUUCGGGUCGUAAAACUCUGUCCUCAGGGAAGAAAAUUUGACGGUACCUGAGGAGGAAGCCCCGGCUAACUACGUGCCAGCAGCCGCGGUAAUACGUAGGGGGCGAGCGUUGNCCGGAAUUAUUGGGCGUAAAGGGUGCGUANGCGGNCUUUUAAGUCAGGUGUGAAAGGCCACAGCUUAACUGUGGGGGUGCACUUG